GACGAACGCUGGCGGCGUGCUUAACACAUGCAAGUCGAACGGAGUGGCGAACGGGUGAGUACCACGUGGGUGAUCUGCCUUGCACUUCGGGAUCAGCUUGGGAAACUGGGUCUACUACCGGAUAGUGCAAGAUGAGCUCGGGGCCUAUCAGCUUGUUGGUGGGGUCAUGGCCUACCAAGGCGUCGACGGGUAGCCGGCCUGAGAGGGUGUACGGCCACAUUGGGACUGAGGUACGGCGCAGACUCCUACGGGAGGCAGUAGUGGGAAAUAUUGCGCAAUGAGCGGAAGCCUGAUGCAGCGACGCCGCGUGGGGGAUGAAGGCCUUCGGGUUGUAAACUGCUGUCGACAGGGACGCGGUACCUGUAGAAGAAGCACCGGCUAACUACGUGCCAGCAGCCGCGGUAAUAC
rnacentral:rRNA from 1 species